rnacentral:rRNA from 1 species
AUUGAACGCUGGCGGCAGGCCUAACACAUGCAAGUCGAACGAGUGGCGGACGGGUGAGUAAUGUCUGGGAAACUGCCCGAUGGAGGGGGAUAAAUACUGGAAACGGUAGCUAAUACCGCAUAAAAUCGGCAGUGCCCAGAUGGGCUUAGCUAGUAGGGGGGGUAACGGAUCACCUAGGCGACGAUCCCUAGCUGGUCUGAGAGGAUGACCAGCCACCUUGGAACUGAGACACGUUCGUGACUCCUACGGGGGGCAGCAGUGGGGAAUAUUGCACAAUGGGCGAAAGCCUGAUGCAGCCAUGCCGCGUUUAUGAAGAAGGCCUUCGGGUUGUAAAGUACUGUCAGCGGGGAGGCGUUACCCGCAGAAGAAGCACCGGCUAACUCCGUGCCAGCAGCCGCGGUAAUUC